rnacentral:lncRNA from 1 species
AAGGGAAAACUUCAAAAACCCCCCUUGUGGUCUCAAUUUUUUUCACUUUAGUACCCUGUGGUUUAAAAUGCAUCAAGUUAGUAUAUUGUGGUUUCUCACUUUAUCACUUUAGUACCCUGUGGUUUAAAGUGUAUCAAGUUAGUACCAUGUGGUUUUGAUUUUGUAUCAAAUUAGUACCCUGUGAUUUUUUAAACUAUAGGGUACUAAAGUGAUAAAGUGUGAAACCACAGGGUACUAAAGUGAUAAAGUGCAAAACCACAGGGUACUAACUUGAUAGACUUUAAACCACAGGGUACUAAAGUGAUAAAGUGAGAAACCAUAGGGUACUAACUUGAUACACUUUAAACUACAGGGUACUAAAAUGAAAAAGUGUGGAACCACAGAGGGGGGUUUUUGAAGUUUUCCCUUAACUAAAUAAUGGAGGAGGGAGAAAAAAAGAAAAGAAAAAAUUAAUU